UCCAGAUGUACAAAAAAUUUUCAGGACAUAUAAUAAUUUUUCCGAAAAUACAGUUGUUUUCCAAAUUCACUUUCUCAUGUCCUGAGAAUUACCUGAAUUCCCCUGAAAAUCUUCUGCAAAUCUACUUAAAUUUACCUAAAAGUGCACUGGAAAUCUACCUGAAAUUCCUCAUGAGCAAUUAUCAGGGGUGUUGCACCCCCCCCCCCCACCAGUGAGUUUCACGCAUUCACGCAAACACUCUCUGAUUUAUUGUUCGUGUAUUUCAUCUCCCAAAAUUUUGUGCAUCAUACUAUAGAGCAUUUUGCUGUUGUCAUGGUCUAGCGUGGUUCAAAUUUAUGAAUUUUUAUCAUAUAAAGUAUAGUGUUUUAUGUACUAUUUAAAACACGAGUAGGAGUGCAGCCGAGCGUUAUAUAUCUGAUAAAACACGACAACGAGUAUUUUGAAUAGCUUAAAAUACGACUACAAAAGACUACUAAUUAGGAUGAACCAUAGUAUAAUCAUGCUAAUUAAGAUGAACAAUUAUAUAAUGCCACAUGUGUUUUAUCAGAUAUAAAGUCACUCCACGUGACAUAUUAUGGCUGACAUGUUUGCCACAAGGUUUAUGAAUUAUUAAUGAGUAUUUUAAAGAGAUUUUGAGCACUGAUAAAAAUGAUAAUCUCACAUGUGAAAUUAUUCAUGAUAAUCUCACAUGUGAAAAUUAUCGCCUUUUCAAUUAUCGCUUUUCUGUAAAAAUUAUCGCUUUUCAAAGACUGUCCUUUAUAUAAUAAACAGA